AACGGCCACACCAUGCUGAAUAUACCGGUUCUCGUUAGAUCACCGAAGUCAAGCAUCAUUGGGCGCGGUCAGUACUUGGGUGGGUGCCCACCUGGGAACACCGUGUGCCGUU
rnacentral:rRNA from 1 species